UACGGGAGGCAGCAGUGGGGAAUAUUGCACAAUGGGCGAAAGCCUGAUGCAGCUAUGCCGCGUGUAUGAAGAAGGCCUUAGGGUUGUAAAGUACUUUCAUCGGGGAGGAAAAAACAAACUAAUAAUUUUAUUUCUUGACGUUACCCGAAAAAGAAGCACCGGCUAACUCCGUGCCAGCAGCCGCGGUAAUACGGAGGGUGCUAGCGUUAAUCAGAAUUACUGGGCGUAAAGAGCACGUAGGUGGUUUUUUUAAGUCAGAUGUGAAAUCCCUGGGCUUAACCUAGGAACUGCAUUUUGAAACUGAAAUACUAGAGUAUCGUAGAGGGAGGUAGAAUUCUAGGUGUAGCGGUGAAAUGCGUAGAUAUCUGGAGGAAUACCUGUGGCGAAAGCGGCCUCCUAAACGAAUACUGACACUGAGGUGCGAAAGCGUGGGGAGCAAACGAGGGAUUAGAUACC
rnacentral:rRNA from 1 species